GAUGAACGCUAGCUACAGGCUUAACACAUGCAAGUCGAGGGACCGGCGCGCGGGUGAGUAACACGUAUCCAAACUGCCCUUUACUCGGGGAUAGCCUUUCGAAAGAAAGAUUAAUACCCGAUAUAAAGGAUGGGGAUGCGUUCCAUUAGGUUGUUGGUAAGGUAACAGCUCACCAAGCCUUCGAUGGAUGGGGGUGCUGAGAGGAAGGUCACCCACAUUGGAACUACGACUCGGUCCAAACUCCUACGCAGGGCAGGAGUGAAGAAUAUUGGUCGAUGGGCGCUAGCCUGAACCAGCCAAGUAGCGUAAAGGGUGAAGGCUUAUGGGUCUUAAUCUUCUGUUAUAUAAGAAUAUUUAUUAUAUGAAGAAGGAUCGGCUAACUCCGUGCCAGCCGCCGCGGUAAUAC
rnacentral:rRNA from 1 species